GAGACCUAUUAAGAAUAGAAUUUCUUGUAGGCUUUGUGACCAGGGGGAUUAGCGCUGCUUUCCCAAGACAGGUUUUUAUGUGUAUGAUCUUCAGGCUUUGCCUAUCCAGGUUGGCUGGCCGGUGCUGACGGGACUGAGCUGAGGCUAGAGAUAAAUUCCUAUGUUAGACUUCCGCUGUAGCAAUUACUCUUAUACAUCUUUUGUUUUCUCAACUUAAGAUGACUUCAUUUGAGCUUCAAUUUAAAAUUUAUAGUUUUAUGUUAAUGAACGUCGGUUGUCAGAAGCAUGAAACAAAACUUGUGAUCCAAAGGGGCCUAGCCUGACUUUCUAUCCUAUUUCGGGUUUUAACAAGGUAUUUCCCUUGUUUAUUUCUAUGAAUUAUUCACACCUCGAUUAUAUUUAUUCCUUCAAGAAUUGGGGUGUGACA